GCUGGAAGGCAACUUAGAUCUUUACGGUUUAAUUUUAUUUCUCUCUUUAGUUUGUUUAAGUUUUUACUUCAGUUGCUUCAGUGAAUAAGUUGGGGGGAAGCCAAAUAUGCAUAUGCAAGGACAUCUAAAGACUCCUGCUAAAUCAAGAACAUAGCGAGUUAAGUGUAUUCUUUCUUGUCCCUUUCUACCUAUUGCACUCCCUAU
rnacentral:lncRNA from 1 species